rnacentral:rRNA from 1 species
UACGAAGGGUGCAAACGUUGCUCGGAAUCAUUGGGCGUAAAGCGCACGUAGGCGGCGAUCUAAGUCGGAUGUGAAAUCCCUCGGCUCAACCGAGGACGUGCAUCCGAAACUAGAUUGCUCGAGUAUGGAAGAGGGUCGCGGAAUUCUCGGUGUAGAGGUGAAAUUCGUAGAUAUCGGGAGGAACACCAGUGGCGAAGGCGGCGACCUGGGCCAAUACUGACGCUGAGGUGCGAAAGCGUGGGGAGCAAACAGG